CUUCUCCCUGGAUCGUCCAGGGGAAGACCAGACGACCCCAUGCUGCAUGACCCAGCAGGCUGCAGCAGCUCACAGAGGCCCCUUUCCAACAGCCCGUCCCCACCCUGGCCUCGGUGCACCAUCUCCGCCCCCCACCCUGAUGGUGCAGGUGACCCCUGAGCCCAGCCUGGCGGCAGGCCUCCCUGUGGAACUGCAGCCUGGCUGCAGGCCUCCCUCUCCACUCCCAGCUCCCCUGCCGUUGCCAUGGUUACCCCAGUUCUCAGAGGCCACGGGGGAUGCUGGUGGCUGCGGCUGAGGCUAACUGGGGCCAGAAGCACCUCCCGGGUGCCCACUGCCCUCCGCAGGCCUCCUGCCCCGUCUCUAGUCUGGAGAACCCACCGCAGCUCUCGAGGGGCCAUCCGGUUCUCCAGGGGACAUUGCUGCAGUCCGUCCCAGCUGGAUGCUGUGGCCAGGACACCACGAGCCACGGGUGGGUCACACCCAGAUGACAGCUGCGGAGUCCUGCUCACGCUCAUUCUUUCAACCAAGCGUUUGGGAUGGAGGGUUGAAUCAAGACGUGUCAAUACCUUUGGGAGCCCCACAGACAAUAGGGCAGAAGAAGCUGGACGCUCUCACCUCCUUGUGUCCAGGGCAUUGAAAUGAUCCCCAGAGCAGAGGGCACCAGAGACCUGCAGACCCACCAGCCUCGCCCCUGGUGCCUCCUCCCUUCGAGACCCUCUGGUUUGAACCUGGGAAGUCCUCAAAGGCUCCCGUGUGGAAGGCUUGGUCCCCAGUGCAGCAAGGGACUCAGGGGGACUUUGGGGACGGGAUCGCCAGGCUCUGACUUCCCUGAGGAUUCAUCAUGGAGGCUCCAUCACGGGAAGGCCGUGUCGCGAGGCGGUGGGAAGGUGGCGGGCUGGAGGAGGGAGGUCCCCGGCCCCUGGCUCCCUUUCUCUGUCCCCUCACAGCUGCCCCGGGCCUCACCCCCGCCCGACACUCUGCUCACCGCAGGCCCCAGCAGCGGAGCCGGCCAACCGUGGGCUGAACCUCGGACACCAUCAGCCCCACGCGGUCUCUCCCCCUCUGGGUGGCUUUCCCCAGGUGUUUGUCACCGCGGCCAGAGCGCACCAACACAGGCCCCGAGUCUGAGGCCAGUCCCCUGUGCCCCUCUGGGAGGAAGUGGCUUUGGGUGGCCCCGGGAGGACCUCCCCGGCCCUCCCCCUCUCCUACAGUGUCCCUGCGUGACCGGGUUCUGAAGAGAAAGCCUGACCCCAGAACCCGGGAGUCGGACUCGGUCACAUGGGUGUCCUUGUGUGGGACUUCCCAGAGCCUUCGCUGCGCUAAGACGACCCGCAAGUCCCUAGGAGGGCGCUCAACACCCAGUGCCGCGCCCAGCGCCUCACCCGCAGAGGACCCACGGCUAACUGCAGUACUCGGCGACCCCACGGAGACUUGGACCCUCUGCCUGGUUCAGGCCACCCACCAGGCAGGAGGAUCGCCCUGGCGAAUGAGACCAGGGGCUGGCCACCGGGAUGAGGAGGGCCAUGGUGGUCUCCAGCCGCAGCUGGCUCCUCCGCAGCUGGGCCCCGCGCAGUCCAGCCAGACGGGCUGGAGAGAGAGGAAGCGGGUGGUCCUGGCCGGCUGAGCAGAGGACCCCAGGGACCCUUCCCUGAAUUCCAGUCGUGCCUGUGGGGCUCUUGGGUUGAGCUGCUCUGCUACCUGGGACAGAGUCCUCAUCCAGAGGCAGGAGACGUUCCCAGGGCUGAUUGCCAACAGCUGCCGCGGCUCCAGGUGAACACCAGUGUGGAUGCACAUCGAAAGCCCAACUCCAAGUGGCCUCAACAGAAAGGAGAUUUCCUUUUCUUAUGUCAAGGAAAGUCCAGAGCUAGAGUGAGUCAUUGAUGGCUCAGUGAUGUCGUCAGUGGCCCUUGUUCCCUUGCUUUCUGUUAAUUCUUGCUUGCCUCAUGGUGGCAAAAUGGCUGCAGCAGCUCUAGGCACAUUAUGCUUAAACAACAAUACUCACAGGCCUGGAAAAAGCGAUGCUCCUUUUGAAGAGAGAGAGAAACCCUGGCACCGCCUGGAGUAUUAGUUUGCUAAGGCUGCUGUAACAAAGUAACAGAACCCAGAGAGAUCAGCUUUCUCACAAUUCUGGAGGCCAAAAGUCCGCGAUCAAGGCCCCGUGGGGACUGAUUUCCUGUGAGGAUUGUAGAGGGCACCUUCUCCUGUGUCUUCUCUUGGUCCCCCUCUGCGCAUGCCCGUAUCCCUGUCCCCUCUGGUGAUAAAGACAGAUUGGAUUAGGAGCCACUUUAAUAAAGGUGUCAUUUUUA